AACGAACGCUGGCGGCAUGCCUAACACAUGCAAGUCGAACGAGACCUUCGGGUCUAGUGGCGCACGGGUGCGUAACGCGUGGGAGCCUGCCCUUAGGUUCGGAAUAACUCCCCGAAAGGGGUGCUAAUACCGGAUAAUGUCUUCGGACCAAAGAUUUAUCGCCUUUGGAUGGGCCCGCGUUGGAUUAGCUAGUUGGUAGGGUAAAAGCCUACCAAGGCGACGAUCCAUAGCUGGUCUGAGAGGAUGAUCAGCCACACUGGGACUGAGACACGGCCCAGACUCCUACGGGAGGCAGCAGUGGGGAAUAUUGGACAAUGGGCGAAAGCCUGAUCCAGCAAUGCCGCGUGAGUGAUGAAGGCCUUAGGGUUGUAAAGCUCUUUUACCCGGGAUGAUAAUGACAGUACCGGGAGAAUAAGCUCCGGCUAACUCCGCG
rnacentral:rRNA from 1 species